rnacentral:rRNA from 1 species
UACGUAGGGAGCAAGCGUUGUCCGGAAUCAUUGGGCGUAAAGCGCGCGUAGGUGGCCCCGUAAGUCCGCUGUGAAAGUCAAAGGCUCAACCUUUGAAAGCCGGUGGAUACUGUGGGACUAGAGUACGGAAGAGGCGAGUGGAAUUCCUGGUGUAGCGGUGAAAUGCGCAGAUAUCAGGAGGAACACCAAUGGCGAAGGCAGCUCGCUGGGACGGUACUGACGCUGAGGCGCGAAAGCGUGGGGAGCAAACAGG